rnacentral:lncRNA from 1 species
CAACAAGUUGUCAAAUUCAUCUGAAAAUUUCAGGGCAGAUAGAUAUUGACUUGAUAAACAAUUAAACACCUUGUCAGAUUUGCUCUAAAUGCUUUGGUUUCAAAGUUAAAAGCCAAAAUCUACAUUUUACCCCGAUGUUCUAUUUAUAGCCAUGAUGGCCAUCUUGGUUGGUUGGCAGGGUCACCGGAAACAUUUUUUAAACUAGAUACCCUAAUAAUGAUUGUGGCUAAGUUUGGUUAAGUUUGGCCCAGUAGUUUCAGAGAGGAAAAUUUUUGUAAAAGAUUACAAAAAUUUACGAAAAAUUGGUAAAAAAUGACUAUAAAGGGCAAUAACUCCUUCAGGGGUCAACUGACCAUUUUGGUCAUGUUGACUUAUUUGUAGAUCUUACUUUGCUGAACAUUAUUGCUAUUUACAGUUUAUCUCUAUCUAUAAUAAUAUUCAAGGUAAUAACCAAAAACAGCAACAUUUCCUUAAAAUUACCAAUUCAGGGGCAGCAAACCAACAACCGGUUGUCCGAUUCAUUUGAAAAUUUCAGGGCAGAUAGAUUUUCACUUGAUAAACAAUUUUACCCCUGUCAGAUUUGCUUUAAAUGGUUUGGUUUCAGAGUUAUAAGCCAAAAUCUACAUUUUACCCCUAUGUUCUAUUUUUAGCCAUGGCGGCCAUCUUGGUUGGUUGGCCGGGUCACGCCACA